UACGUAGGGGGCAAGCGUUAUCCGGAUUUACUGGGUGUAAAGGGAGCGCAGACGGCUAGGCAAGUCUGAAGUGAAACCCCACCGCUCAACGGUGGGCUUGCUUUGGAAACUGUCUGGCUAGAGUACUGGAGAGGUAAGCGGAAUUCCUAGUGUAGCGGAGAAAUGCGUAGAUAUUAGGAGGAACAUCGGUGGCGAAGGCGGCUUACUGGACAGCAACUGACGUUGAGGCUCGAAGGCGUGGGGAGCAAAC
rnacentral:rRNA from 1 species